rnacentral:rRNA from 1 species
GACGAACGCUGGCGGCGUGCUUAACACAUGCAAGUCGAACGGUAAGGCCCUGCUUUUGUGGGGUGCUCGAGUGGCGAACGGGUGAGUAACACGUGAGUAACCUGCCCUUGACUUUGGGAUAACUUCAGGAAACAGGGGCUAAUACCGGAUAGGAGCUCCUGCUGCAUGGGGGGGGUUGGAAAGUUUCGGCGGUUGGGGAUGGACUCGUGGCUCAUCAGCUUGUUGGUGGGGUAGUGGCUUACCAACGCUUUGACGGGUAGCCGGCCUGGGAGGGUGACCGGACACAUUGGGCCUGAGAUAGGGCCCAGACGGCAACGGGAGGAAGCGGUGGAAAAUAGUGCACAAUGGGCGGAAGCCUGAUGCAGCAACGCCGCGUGCGGGAUGACGGCCUUCGGGUUGUAAACCGCUUUCGCCUGUGACGAAGCGUAAGUGACGGUAAUGGGUAAAGAAGCACCGGCUAACUACGUG